UGCAGUCGAGCGGUAGCACAGGAGAGCUUGCUCUCUGGGUGACGAGCGGCGGACGGGUGAGUAAUGUCUGGGAAACUGCCUGAUGGAGGGGGAUAACUACUGGAAACGGUAGCUAAUACCGCAUAACGUCUUCGGACCAAAGUGGGGGACCUUCGGGCCUCACGCCAUCAGAUGUGCCCAGAUGGGAUUAGCUAGUAGGUGGGGUAAUGGCUCACCUAGGCGACGAUCCCUAGCUGGUCUGAGAGGAUGACCAGCCACACUGGAACUGAGACACGGUCCAGACUCCUACGGGAGGCAGCAGUGGGGAAUAUUGCACAAUGGGCGCAAGCCUGAUGCAGCCAUGCCGCGUGUGUGAAGAAGGCCUUCGGGUUGUAAAGCACUUUCAGCGAGGAGGAAGGGUGGUGUGUUAAUAGCGCAUCACAUUGACGUUACUCGCAGAAGAAGCACCGGCUAACUCCGUGCCAGCAGCCGCGGUAAUACGGAGGGUGCAAGCGUUAAUCGGAAUUACUGGGCGUAAAGCGCACGCAGGCGGUUUGUUAAGUCAGAUGUGAAAUCCCCGCGCUUAACGUGGGAACUGCAUUUGAAACUGGCAAGCUAGAGUCUUGUAGAGGGGGGUAGAAUUCCAGGUGUAGCGGUGAAAUGCGUAGAGAUCUGGAGGAAUACCGGUGGCGAA
rnacentral:rRNA from 1 species